UACAGAGGGUGCAAGCGUUGUUCGGAAUUACUGGGCGUAAAGCGCGUGUAGGCGGCCCGGCAAGUCGGAUGUGAAAGCCCUGGGCUCAACCCAGGAAGUGCAUUCGAAACUGCCAGGCUCGAGUACGGGAGAGGGAGGUGGAAUUCCCAGUGUAGAGGUGAAAUUCGUAGAUAUUGGGAGGAACACCGGUGGCGAAAGCGACCUCCUGGACCGAUACUGACGCUGAGACGCGAAAGCGUGGGGAGCAAACAGG
rnacentral:rRNA from 1 species